rnacentral:rRNA from 1 species
AUGAACGCUGGCGGUCUGCUUAACACAUGCAAGUCGAACGGGACUCUUCGGAGUUCGGUGGCGGACGGGUGAGUAACGCGUGAGAAUCUGCCUUCAGGUCGGGGACAACCACUGGAAACGGUGGCUAAUACCGGAUAUGCCGCAACGUGAAAGAUUUAUCGCCUGAAGAGGAGCUCGCGUCUGAUUAGCUAGUUGGUGGGGUAAAAGCUCACCAAGGCGACGAUCAGUAGCUGGUCUGAGAGGAUGAUCAGCCACACUGGGACUGAGACACGGCCCAGACUCCUACGGGAGGCAGCAGUGGGGAAUUUUCCGCAAUGGGCGAAAGCCUGACGGAGCAAGACCGCGUGAGGGAGGAAGGCUCUUGGGUUGUAAACCUCUUUUCUCAGGGAAGAACAAAAUGACGGUACCUGAGGAAUCAGCCUCGGCUAACUCCGUGCCAGCAGCCGCGGUAAUACGGAGGAGGCAAGCGUUAUCCGGAAUUAUUGGGCGUAAAGCGUCCGCAGGUGGCACUUCAAGUCUGUCGUCAAAGACUGGGGCUUAACCCUGGAAAGGCGGUGGAAACUGAAGCGCUAGAGUGUGGUAGGGGUAGAGGGAAUUCCCGGUGUAGCGGUGAAAUGCGUAGAGAUCGGGAAGAACAUCGGUGGCGAAAGCGCUCUACUGGACCACAACUGACACUCAGGGACGAAAGCUAGGGGAGCGAAUGGGAUUAGAUACCCCAGUAGUCCUAGCCGUAAACGAUGGAUACUAGGUGUGGCCCGUAUCGACCCGAGCCGUGCCGUAGCUAACGCGUUAAGUAUCCCGCCUGGGGAGUACGCUCGCAAGAGCGAAACUCAAAGGAAUUGACGGGGGCCCGCACAAGCGGUGGAGUAUGUGGUUUAAUUCGAUGCAACGCGAAGAACCUUACCAGGGCUUGACAUGUCCGGAAUCCCAGGGAAACUUGGGAGUGCCUUCGGGAGCCGGAACACAGGUGGUGCAUGGCUAUCGUCAGCUCGUGUCGUGAGAUGUUGGGUUAAGUCCCGCAACGAGCGCAACCCUCGUUUUUAGUUGCCAUCAUUAAGUUGGGCACUCUAGAGAGACUGCCAGUGACAAACUGGAGGAAGGUGGGGAUGACGUCAAGUCAGCAUGCCCCUUACGUCCUGGGCUACACACGUACUACAAUGCGACGGACAAAGGGCAGCGAGCGAGCGAUCGUCAGCUAAUCCCAUAAACCGUGGCUCAGUUCAGAUCGCAGGCUGCAACUCGCCUGCGUGAAGGAGGAAUCGCUAGUAAUUGCAGGUCAGCAUACUGCAGUGAAUUCGUUCCCGGGCCUUGUACACACCGCCCGUCACACCAUGGGAGCUGGUUUUGCCCGAAGUCGUUACCCUAACCGCUUGCGGAGGGGGACGCCGAAGGCAGGGCUGGUGACUGGGGUG